AAACCAACACAAUACACUAAUGUUGCUGUCAAAGAAGAAAACAACUAGAUUUUAACCCGCGGUACACCGCGGAAACAAUUUAUUUUUUAAAGUUAAUAUACAUAAAAGUUUGCAAAUUGUAUCUAUCUAUAAAAUAUUUUUAUUUUGUAGUUUACAACUGUUAUUAAGUAACAUCCUGCCAAACCCGUCCCGCCCACCCGUCCCGUAAAAAAAUCAUUUAUUUUAUUAAUGUUAAUCUUAUUUAUGAUAUGUUUAUGAAUUAUUGUCUAAAUAUUUUGUAAUUUUGUAGUAAUUAAACGUUAUCAAAUAUCUCUGCGGUUUGAUGAUUAUAAUCGAAUUGUUAUAGUCAUGGAGAAAAUCAAUAUCAAAAAUGAUAAUUUUGAAGUAAUUAAAUGAUAGUAAAUAUUUUGGAAGUUUUAUUUUAAUAACUAAUGUGGAGAGAUUUAGGGAAGAUUGUUAAAUGUCAAAUAUUUAUUUCGAAGAUGUUUUUUUUAAUUAUCAAAAACAAACAUUAAAAUUCAGUGGCAGUCAUUGUAAAUAAGUCCCAACUACAGGAUUUAUUUCACAAAAUAACUGCAAAAAUGUAUAUAUAGAUGUCAAAAAAAAAACAAGGGAGAUUUGCAAAACUACACUUAUUCUAAUAACCUUUUGUAAAAGUGUCUUUUUCUGAAGGCCAUUUUUAAAACUACCUCUUCUAAUAUGCCAAAUGACUGUCUUACCCUCUGAAUGAUUAGGUUUCACGUUGGUUUCCUCUCCGAUUUUCCUCUUCUUCAUUUUGGCACAAACUUCUUCGUUUUCCUCUUUGAUUUUCCUCUCCGAUUUCACUCAAAAUCGCCGGCGAAUUUCCUCUCCGAUUUCACUCAAAAUCACCGACGAAUUCCCUCUCCGAUUUCACUCAAAAUCGCCAACGAAUUUCCUCUCCGAUUUCACUCAAAAUCGCCGACGAAUUUUUUUUCUGAGAAACCCCAAAAUCGCCGACAAAUUUCCUCUCCGAUAAACCUGUUCUUCGCUGAAGGAUUCAGAUCAUUUCUCUACGACGCAAACAAUCCCCAGAGAUAUCGAUAGAUCCGACGGUAACCGUUUUUAUAAUCGAUUUUAUAAUCGAUUUUAUAGUCGAUUUUAUAGUCAAUUUUAUAGUAGAUCUGACGCUGUUUCAUAACAUGUUUUGCAGAUGGAUUCAGAGAGUGAAAUCCUUACAUUGCCUGAACAAAUCUACAGAGAAGGUGAGGAAUCUAUUGCACUGGGAACCGUUCAACAAUACUCGGAUUGGAAUUUAGUUAGUAAAGUAGAGGAAGCUUUAGGCGAGUGUUUAUUUCAGAAGAUUAGAAGUUCGUUUCUUGGUCCUCUAGUUGAAUUGGGACCAAAAAUGAAGGCUAAGAAGGGAAUCAGAUUUUCUGGAAAAAUCUUUCACUAUCUCAUGCAGCAGAGAGUGAAAACAAAAGGAUCAACUCUUUGGUUUAGAGUUGAUUCUCAACCUAUCCGUUUCUCCUUGAGAGAGUUCUAUCUCACAACAGGUAAUAAAGUUUUACAAUCGUUUUUAAAGCUUAAUUAACUGUCGUAGAAUGAUUUACAAGGCAUUUGCAUAACUGUUUGCGUAGUUUACAAUCGUUUUUAAAACAUAAGUAAGUGUCAUAGAUAAUUUACAAGGGAUUUUAAAAGCUUUUAAAAGGGGUUUACUUCAUUAACAAUCGUUUAAGAAGCAUAAGUUAGUGGCAGAUAAUGAUUUACAAGGGAUUUUAAAAAGGGUAUGCAUGGUUUACAACCGUUUUUAGGCAUAAGUAACUAGCAUAGAAUAAUUUACAAGGGAUUUUAAAAGCUUAAAGAAGUGUUAAACACGUUUACAAGGGAUUUUAAAAGCAUAAGUAAGUGUCUUAAAACGAUUUACAAGGGAUUUUAGAAGUGUUUGCAUAGUUUACAAUCGAUUUUAAAAACAUAAGUAAGUGGCAUAGAAUAUUUACAAGGGAUUUUAAAACCUUUUCUAAGGGUUAAACAUGAUUAGCAAUCGUUUUUUAAGCAUAAGUAAGUUGAAUAGAAUGAUUUACAAGAGAUUUUAAAAGCUUUUAGAAGGGUUAAACAUGAUUUACAAUCGUUUUUAAAGCAUAAGUAAGUGCCAUAUAAUGAUUUACAAGGGAUUUUAAAAGUGUCUGCAUGGUUUACAAUCGUUUUUAAAACCAU
rnacentral:sRNA from 1 species